UGGUUCAUGCAAAAAUGUCUGGGAUAUUAGGACACUGUUCUAAUCUUCAUCUGAGAACAUGACCAAAAUGAAGUGGUUUGUCAGCUUAAUAUCUAAGCCAUCUCUCCUCUCCUUCCUAGAAUUCAGAAUUCCGGGAGUUUCUUCUCACCAAACUGAUCAAUGCAGAAAAUGCCUGCUGCAAGUCAGACAAGUUUGCUAAGCUGGAGGAUCGGACACGAGCUGCUCUGCUGGACAACCUCCACGAUGAACUUCAUGUCCAUACGCAAUUGAUGCUAGGCCUGGGAUUUGAGGAGGACAAGCUGGAAAAUGGAGGCCAUGGGGGAUUCUUGGAAUCAUUUAAGGACAUCCCAGGGCUUGCGAGGAAAACAACUGUCAGAAUAAUUUUGCAGCUGCCUUUUUACUUCUGGACAGCCCUGCUGGUCUGCUUGAUAGCUUAUUUGUUUCUCAGCGUGCUUCCCGUGUAAAUAUAUAAUGGGACAAGAAAUGGGAAAACAGAGGGGCCUUUUUUCUUCAGGAUUUGACAGGAAGUCACAGACACUCAUUUUCACUUGGUUGCUUCUUUUCGCAGACUGCAAAACACCCUCAUACACACACACACACACACACACAAAACACAUAUCAGGUUUCUGUAGAAUUAGACCUGAAGUCAGAUAGAGGAAACUAAUCUGAAGAAGAGCAAUCCUUAAUACAAGACAGCAAAAACUUUAAUACCAUAAAGGCACCAGGUCUCAUUUGAUCUUGGAGCUAAGCAGGGUCAGCUCUGAUUAGCACUUAGAUGGGAGACUGCCAUUGCAGACCAAUGCCGUAGGUUAUAUUUCAGAGAAGGGAGCUGGAAAAACCAGCUGCAAGUAUUCCUUGACUAUGAAGUAUAACACACGGAGCUUUUUGCAGGUCAGACCUGGGGUGACUCCUGGUUCAGCUAUGCGAAUUCACGUCGUAACGUGAAUGUUUUAUGACACCUGGUUGCUCUCCCGUUGCCCUUCCGAAUCGAGGGGGAAUUGAAUCCAAGGCAA